rnacentral:rRNA from 1 species
UUGGAGGGCAAGUCUGGUGCCAGCAGCCGCGGUAAUUCCAGCUCCAAUAGCGUAUAUUAAAGUUGUUGCAGUUAAAAAGCUCGUAGUUGAAUUUCGGGACCAAUUUGUUGGUCGUGCCUCGGUACGUACUGGUAUUAUUGGUUUCUCCCUUCUGAAGAACCUUGAUGUCAUUAAUUUGGUGUCUUGGGGAAUCAGGACCGUUACUUUGAAAAAAUUAGAGUGUUUAAAGCAGGCAUACGCUUGAAUACACUAGCAUGGAAUAAUGAAAUAGGACGUUUGAUUCUAUUUUGUUGGUUUCUAGGAUCGACGUAAUGAUUAAUAGGGAUAGUUGGGGGCAUUAGUAUUCAAUUGUCAGAGGUGAAAUUCUUGGAUUUAUUGAAGACUAACUACUGCGAAAGCAUUUGCCAAGGAUGUUUUCAUUAAUCAAGGACGAAAGUUAGGGGAUCGAAGGCGAUCAGAUACCGUCGUAGUCUUAACCAUAAACUAUGCCGACUAGGGAUCGGAUGAUGUUAUUUUUAAUGACUCAUUCGGCGCCUUACGGGAAACCAAAGUGUUUGGGUUC